GUUCGGGAACAAGCUGAAUCAACAAAAGUUCGUAUCGUCUACGACGCCUCCGCAAAGGUUAACGAAGAUAGUCCGUCACUGAAUGACUGUCUAGAGAUUGGCCCUCCACUUCAACGAAAGUUGUUAGAUAUCCUUUUGCGAAACCGAGUUAAACCUGUGCUAUUAGCUGGAGAUAUAAAGCAAGCGUUUCUUCAGAUUGUUAUCAGAGAAACCGAACGUGACGCCUUGAGGUUCCUGUGGAUAAAUAACUUGCACACCAGAGAAGAGAAGAUCUACCGCAUGACAAGACUUAUGUUUGGUCUGGGUCCAAGUCCAUUCAUUCUUGGAGGGACAUUGAACGUUCACCUACUCACAAGUACUCACAAGAUCAUCCGAUUUGUGUUCGAGAACUUAAAGAUGGUACAUACGUGGACGAUAUAAACAUUGCAAGCGACACAGUGGAAGAAACGAGAGAAAUUAAAGAAGAUGCUGUAAAAAUCCUGGGAGAAGGUGGGUUCAUGUUACAUAAAUGGCAUUCGAACGCCGCAGAAUUAGAAAGUGAUGUAAAGGAAGAUGGAGAAACUACCUAUGCGAAGGAAAGUCUAGGGACAACACCAUCGGAGACCAAACUUCUUGGAUUAGGCUGGAACAAAUCAGAAGACACUUUGUCAGUGACAUUUCCACCAAACGAAAAUGAAGUUACGAAAAGAAUCGUCCUGAGAACUAUGGCGAAAAUCUAUGAUCCGCUGGGAUUAGCAGCUCCUAUUCUACUCACGGCCAAAGUGAUCUUUCGAGAUGUCUGUGAUUCUAAGUUGGGAUGGGAUGCAGAUCUACCUGACGAACUAAAGCGGCGAUGGGAGAAAUGGUUGAAGAAUUUACCUGUCCAGUUGAAGAUGCCAAGAGCAAUACCUAGAGAAAUCGGUGUGAUUGUCGAAUUGAUUCUUCAUGGAUUCGCAGAUGCGAGCCUUCUUGGUUGUUGCGCUGUGAUCUACGCUAUUAUCAAGCAAGCUGGAGUGAUUAGUCAAGGGUUCCUGAUUUCGAAAACAAGAUUGGCCAAACGGGACUUGACUAUUCCGCGCCUGGAGUUAGUGAGUUGCCACAUGCUAAGUAACCUCCUACACAACACAUUCAAAGUUCUUAGUCAUAUACAAAUUGCCGGUGUAUUCGCAUGGUCUGAU